CACGUAGGGCGCGAGCGUUGUCCGGAAUUAUUGGGCGUAAAGAGCUCGUAGGCGGCCUGUUGCGUCCGCUGUGAAAGCCCGGGGCUUAACCCCGGGUCGGCAGUGGAUACGGGCAGGCUAGAGGUAGGUAGGGGAGAAUGGAAUUCCCGGUGUAGCGGUGAAAUGCGCAGAUAUCGGGAGGAACACCGGUGGCGAAGGCGGGUCUCUGGGCCAAAACUGACGCUGAGGAGCGAAAGCGUGGGGAGCGAACAGG
rnacentral:rRNA from 1 species